rnacentral:sRNA from 1 species
AGCACAACUGAAUAGGCUCCUCAAGGGUGGUCGGCUCAUCCCCUCACGAAAGGGGGUGUUGCCAUAUCUGCACAUGAUGUCAUUUCGCUCAUGCUCCAAUUCGGGCUAUUUUUGAUCGCAGCCCUCACUUUGGUCGUGACGAUCAUGAAACAUAUGCUGGACAACCAGAAUAAAAAGAAAUAGACCGCCUUAUGAGUUGGACGCUCAGGCGGUCUAUUUCGUCCUGUAAGUCGUACGUGAGCCGACACCCUUGAUGGGUAUCAGUUGUGCAACGACCGUGGGUGUUACCAGCACCUGCG